GGACAUCUGUAGUAUUCCUGGUCUCGAAUCAUCCUGAUAUUCUUCAUUUUGUUAUUCACAUUGGACUAGGGAGGAACAAAGAUCACCACAACUGGCUCCCCUUCAACUAUGUUAGAUGGCAACUUGCCUUCAGUAUGGUGAAACACAUCAGUUAAGACCGGGGUUGUGCAUGGCAGAUAGAAUCUCACUAUGUUGACCAGGCUGGUCUUGAACUCUUGGCACCCAA
rnacentral:lncRNA from 1 species